GGUUUUCAGAGUACCAGUACUUGAGUGAUGUAAGAACAGAUGAGAGAUUGUUGUGUGAUGAAGUAUGAAGAAUAGAAAUGAGUUUAAGAGAAUCAAAGAGAGUAUGGGAGAGACUGAGAACGUGUAUGGGAGAUUAGAGAGAGACUUAGUAACAAGAGAAUAAGAACCAAGAACAAGUUUAUGAAGAAGAGAGACUCUCUCAGCUUAAGGGUUUACAAAGUGAUCAUAAGAGGCUUAUAUAUGCCUUUACACAACUUAUAUCACAAACCUAGAUCCUAAGGCUGUAAUUAAAAGAUAGAAUGGAUGGUAAGGAUGAGAGAAGACUGGUCUUGAUGUUUCUGGUGCUAGCUGGCGUGGCUUAUUCAAAUGGAAGGCUCAGAUUGCUUCUUUUGAAUGAAGGGAGGAGAUGGGUCUUGGCUGUAAAGGUAAAGCUUCUUUUCCCUUUCCAGCCUGUCUCUUGGACCACAAGAUGCUCAGGUAUAUUCCUUCCCUCCAUAAGCCUUCAACGGUCACUUAAGAUAGGAUUGGAUCAAAGUAAACCGCCCUCACAUUGCUCAUCUUUGAUUUAAGCUGAACCGGGUGACUUGGGCGUGUGGAGUGGCCGUACGGUUGAUGGUACGGACCUCCUGUCCGUACCACAAUCCCUAACUAUGCACAUUGCCUUAUCUCCUUCUUGACUGAUCCCAAACACCUUCAUGAUUCACCCUAGACCGUACAAGGCCGUACUGAACGCCCUAUCUUUGCACCACACUUCCAUCUUCUCUCUAACUCCUCCAAAGCCUUCACAUGAUCAGUCUAAGUCUUUCCUAGACUUAACUUCACAAGAUAACUACUUCAGAACACUUCUGAAGCUUGAUUGAACUCUUCUAGACAUCUUCUAGAGCUUGCCCUAUUGUUGUACAAGCUCUAUCUUCUCUUCUGUUCAACACUCCCCCUCAAGCUUGACUUUAGGAGAUCCUAAGCCAAGCUUGGAACUCUGAAGAGUCUCCCUCAUUAAAAACCUUACAAGGAAAACCCAUUGGGACAAAACCUUGCAAGGGAAAAAGAGUAGAGCUCUUCAAAGCCUAGGGAUUAGCCAGUGAGCUCUUGUGCCUUAGAACCAGUGUGGUUGGACACAAGAAGCUCUGGAUCACGGCCUAAUAGGUGCAGCAACUCUUCACAGCUUUGCGCACACUUCACACUUCAUACUUCAGCUUCACCUCUUCAUGGAACCGGUUUGAAGUCUCCCCCUCUCAACUGACUUCACAGCCAUCUUAGAGAAGCUAGGACACGACCAGAUCAUCUUCAAAACACUAGUGAGGCUGAUCAACACUUCACACACGGCUUGCCCUCUUCCUAGAACUGGUUUGGAUCUCCCCCUCUCAACAGACUUCUCAGCCAUCUUAGAGAAGCUCGGAACUGACCAGGAACAUCUUUAGUGAGGC
rnacentral:lncRNA from 1 species